CCUACGGGAGGCAGCAGUGGGGAAUAUUGCACAAUGGGGGAAACCCUGAUGCAGCGACGCCGCGUGGGCGAGGAAGUACCUCGGUAUGUAAAGCCCUAUCAGCAGGGAAGAAACAGGACAGUACCUGACUAAGAAGCCCCGGCUAACUACGUGCCAGCAGCCGCGGUAAUACGUAGGGGGCAAGCGUUAUCCGGAUUCACUGGGCGGAAAGGGAGCGCAGGCGGCAUGGCAAGUCUGAUGUGAAAACCCGGGGCCCAACCCCGGGAGUGCAUUGGAAACUGCAUGGCUGGAGUGCGGGAGGGGCAGGCGGAAUUCCUGGUGUAGCGGUGAAAUGCGUAGAUAUCAGGAGGAACACCGGCGGCGAAGGCGGCCUGCUGGACCGCGACUGACGUUGAGGCUCGAAAGCGUGGGGAGCGAACAGGAUUAGAUACCCUGGUAGUC
rnacentral:rRNA from 1 species